UACUCCAGCGCCCCCGCAAUCACCGACCA
rnacentral:sRNA from 1 species